UUGCUUCGGCAGUAGAUAUACUAAAAUUGGAACGAUACAGAGGAAAUUAGCAUGGCCCCUGCCCAAGGAUGACACGCAAAUGGCGGCACGGUAGCUCAGCGGGUUU